rnacentral:sRNA from 2 species
AUAUCUCUCCGUACGGGAAGGAUGAGAAGCUUCGACUAAGGUUCGAUUCGAGCGCAGCGAGAACGCGUUGCCGCAGGCAACGACCCGAAGGGCGAAGCGCGCAGCGCUGAGUCAUCC